rnacentral:lncRNA from 12 species
AUGCGCUUCCAGAGGACGCAGGCCGCGGGCGCUCGGCCCCGCGCGGGCAGGACCACCCGCGGCGCAGCCCCGCGCGCGGGGAGCGGGGAGCGGGGCGCGGGGAGCGGGGCGCGGGGCGCGGGGCGCUCACGGCCGGGCCCGCACGAUGCCCCGCGCGACACGGCGGCGGCGGCCGCCCCCGGACUCGCGUCCACCGCGGUCGGCAUCCCGCGCGCCCGGCACGACAGCCAGGCCACCCAAACGCAGGCGCAAAGGCCGCACAGCCCCACGCGCGGAGCCAGACCCCCGUCGAGGAGGCCAACAGGCACAGGCGUGCGCGGCGAUGCGCACGGAGGGGCCCCAAGAGCCCAGGCCCGCGGCGCAGAGGGCGCGGACACCGUCCCACGCGGGCACACCACCGGCCUGGAGGGCCGCCUCGGGAGGGGUCGGGGCCGCCGGCUCGCACACGCACUCACAAUCCCACCGCAUGCACACAACCACCGGGAAGAAAUGAACACCAACCACCGCCUCGCGCAUUUCUGUAUAUUGCGUAAGGAAAAAGGGGAAGGAAGGAAGAGAGUCUCCGAGGCGGGAGGGGCGGCGGCGAGCGGAGGGCGUCCGCGCAAAGUGCCCCCCAUCGAAGGGCCGGAGGGCGAAGGGGGGAAGGCCUCCCCGGAGGGGGGCGGGCGCCACGGCUGCGGAGGCUGCGGAGGCUGCGGAGGCUGCGGAGGCUGCGGAGCCCGCGGGCCGCCUUCCCCCCGCAAAGGGCCGGAAUGCUCACGUUUCGCCGCCACGGGGGCCGCGCGUGGCCUCGCUGCGGCCGGGUCCUGGGAGCCGAGCCCCCGCCCGCCCCCGCCCCCGCCCCGGGUCCGCGGGCGCCGCGCGCUAAUCCCGCUCCCGCUCCCGGCCUCGUUAGCAUGGGCCGAGGCGCGCCGGGGCCGCGUGCGCCGCCGAGAUAAGGCGCAGCCGCGGGGCCGCUCGCCCCCGAUAAGCGCCUCGGCCAUUAUGGGCCAAAUGAUUCAUUUUAAUUUGGCAAUUUCACCGGAGGGAGCGGGGGGCUGGCUGCGCGGCGCCGGGAGCGGCUCCGGGGCGCGCCGCGGAGAGAGGGGGCGCGCGGGCCGGGGCGCGGCGAGCCCGGCCCCGUGGGACCCCGAGCGCCCCGGGAACCCGGGCACCCCGCGACCUCAGUCCCGCGGCCUCCCAGACACCUUCCUGCGGCGACGCUCAUCCCAGAACUCCGUCCCUGCCCCUCCCGGCAUUCCUUCUUUCUCCCGCGUCCUAGCCGCCCGCGCUCCGACUGGCAGCGCCUCGCCGCAGAGCUCCCCGGCCGCGCCCCUGCACCCCCGCCCUUCAGCCCGGCUCUCCUCCGCUCUGAAACGGGGCGCGCUGGCCUCCAGGGUCACGGACGGAGCUCGCCUCCGGGCCCCGUGGAGGGACAACUGGUGUCAGUGGAGCGGUUUAAGUGUCCCUUCUGCGGAGUUCCAGGCCGAGCCCGGAGCCGGGGAACGUCCCAACCCCCAUUGUGUCCGAAACAUUUUAAUCCUGCUACAGAAACACCAUUGGAAGCACUGUGCAAAUACCAAUUCCUUUCGUUCUCCUAACCAAUCCUAG